GAAAGAAGACAGUAACUGAAGAGCUUGAAUCACGAUAUCAAAGUUUAAAGAAGCCGCUAAAGAAUUUCGGCUUUUUGCGACAAUAAUAUGAUGAAUGAAAUUGAUUAUGUCCAUCAAUUGAACACUGGAUUUCUCCUGAUGAUGGCUGUUACAUCCAAUGAAAAACUCUGUCCCAAUGUCUUUGGAAUUUUCGACAAACUUUUAUAAGAAUUGUAACCACGAAGUUCAUCAAUUGUCUAGCGGAAGCUGGAAGGAUUGCUACCCGAUUGAUACCCUGAGUUGGAUAUGUAUGUAGGAGUGUUUUCAUAUCAUGGGACUUUAACAACUUAAGUACUGAUUUUAUUUUAUUUAAAUGUUUUGACAUCAAGCUUUUAUGAAAACUUUAAACAUCUAGCUUUCAUAAAUUAGUUUUAUGUGCACUGAUUUUUAAUAAUAUGGGCAAAUAAAGUUACUUAGUUACUCCUACCUUGCUAGAUCAGGCAUUAGGUAAUUUCUUUGACAUGCAUUAGUCAAUUAAAAAGUGAUAUUACACAUUAAUUUAUUCUAGUUUUAAUAUUAUAUAUAAUAUGAUACUGUUUGAUAGUGAAAGACUCUUGGAAUUUUAUACCAAUUUUAAACACAUUUAAGAUUCUUAGAAGCGCCAAUUUAAUAAUGAGAUGAAGCUUUUACAGAGCUGUGAUUUUCUUAGACGUCUAUAGUUAAAAUAAUAACGAGCUUAAGAACUUCACUAAAAAUGUUUAUAGACAAACAUCCAACGUCUAAUGUAGUUUUAAAAAGAGUAGGAAGUUCUCUCAUACUCUUGGUGCUCUCUCUCAUUUUUAUAAGUCUCUUAACUUACAUCUAAAGCUCCACUAGUCGUUGAUAUUAUUAAAAUCAACUAUCAUUAAAUCUUGGCAAUCGUUAAAUACUGUUUCCGUCAGUUUUAGAAACUUGAUUUCCCGAUAUUUGCUUGCAAAGUUUUGACUAGUGUCAUCAUAAUCUUAAGAAAAUCGUCUGGGGAUUUCUGCAAUAAAUUUAUUUUAAACAUGGUUUGAGCUUUUUUGUGAUAAACUCAGAAACAGUGAUAUUUGUCCCUUCUUCUUAAGCACACUAAUUGUAAAGAAACAGUGUUUGUAGUAUCAAUAAUCUGUCUAUUUCUCUAGUUGAUUUUUAUUUGUCAAACUACUUUUUUAAUAUCUUAUUUUCAAACUUUUUAAACUUUGGAUGCAUUAUAGCUGAGUUAUACACAAUUGUGAACUUUUCACAAUCGAGUUAUUACUUUCAUGUAGUUGGACACAUUUGAAAAGAAAGGACUCGGCAUUUGCAAUGAGUUUGUUAAAACAUUUUUUUGAGAAUUACCUGAAAUCAAAUUUUAUGUGAAAAAUUUUAUAUUACGUGUUACAAACGUGAGAAUGUUUGAAAAGUCUAAGUCAAUAUAUGUUCAAUUUGUGCAAAAGCACCGGAGAUUCCUCACGGAGGAACUUUUUUAGAAGGGAAAACAUUUUUAGUUCAGUUUUUAAAAGAGGUUGCAACAUUGAAUCAGUUAAAUUUUCAAACUUUAUAGAUUUCUGAGUGUUAGAAGCUUAGAAGGAGAUACGCAACAACAAAAUUUUUCAAAACUGAAUCGGGUUUCUUAUUUUUAUUUUCACGUAGUUUGACAUUGAGUGUUAAAAUUCCUGUCCUAUAUAUAUGAAUUGAAAUUCCUACAUGUGAGAGUAGCUAAGGAAGACCAGAACAUUUUGUAUUAAUGCACGUUUUGGAAGACGUAAGUUUUUCCAACUUUUUUAUAACGUUCUCUUAAAACAACAAUUUCUUUCUUUGCUCAUGACAUUGUAACUUCUUAAAUUGCCAACAGAAAGAAUAUAACUCUCGCCUUCCAAUUAGAUGACCCAGAUUCGAGUAUAACCACGAAGAGUUUUCGCUUCUUUUUAUGUAACGCAAUCGUGAGUUACGCAGACGCUCCUUCAAUAAGUCCUCCGCGAAAGCUAGCUUCUUUUCCCUUGUCUUUUGGGUUGGUAACAAAAUUAUGAGUCUACGAGCCGCAAACUCAAAAGUGGGUCAGCCGUUUAACACCGAAUGUUUAUUUUACUCAAUUAUCUGAAAUAUAUUUUCAUCGCUUUUUUUUCAUUGUUUUAAAAACUUUUCUAAGAAGUAAAUAUAUAAUAAUACCUGCGAAAUAUUUCACAGACACAUAUUAUUGAAAAAUUCUUACCUAAAUUAUUUUUUUCUUUAUCUUCUUCUUAAUUGUGUCAUUUUUUACAUGAAGCAAACAUGAAAUAGCUACUGAUCACUCGUCAUACUCUAAGAAUUAAAUAUACAACAAUUAUUACUCUGAAAUUUCCCUUUAAUCUUCUUCUUAAUUGUUUCAUAAAUCUUUACGUCAUUUAAUUUUUGGUGCUUCAAUACUAAGAUGUUCUAAGUAAAGUACUAAAUGGAAAAAAAAAUAAAACUGCUUCAGCAAAACUUUGAUAAAAAUACAUGAUAAUGUAUGUGAUAAUUAAUACAUCUACUUAUUGUAAUAGCUGUGAAUUUCAAUGAAUAUAUAUAGGAAGUAAAAAAAAUAGUGUUUGUCUAUUUAAAUGUGUCUUUAUAUUUAUGUCAUAUAUAGUAUAAUGCUAGAUGUUAACUGUUGUUAAUUUUUAAAAUUGAAUUUGAUGGUAAUUGUUAAGUCUGUAAAAAAUAUCAUUUAUAAAAGUUAUAAUGAAGAUAUAUUGCGUAUUUUUAUAUGUUUAAAUUUGUUCCAUGUCAUGAGCUUUGUAAAAAUUGUAAAAUGAUGCACAUAGUUUUAGUGAUUUAUGCAAAAGAGACCCUAUAAUAAUAUUAUUUGCUGUAGUGUUGCUUGUUAUUUAAGCUUUGUCAGCUUAAUCUUAAAAUAAACUUCUUACGUUGGAAAAACUAAUUAAAUUUUAAUGAAAAGUUAAUUUUAAGAAAUAUGUUUCAAAAGUUAUGAAAUUAAUUAAGCCAAUAUAAAUAUUUUUAAGUAUAUUAGAUAUCAUUUUUUUGCAUUAUGAUUGAGGCAAUUUCGAAGGUUUUUUGAUGCAGUUUUAAUUUUGAAUGAAAAAAGCGAAAUUAGUUGUAAUUUAAAAAUUUAUUACUGUAUCUGCUGUUUUAAAGUCUAGUUUAUCGAUCAUCAUAUUCCAUUGAAAUAUUCAUAUUUUUUAUUUUUCAUAUGGUUUUGUUGCACAAUGCAUCUCAGAGCUACCCAAAAUUAAAAAGAAAAAAAAAUGUUGAAAUUAAACUUUUAAACCUAAAACCGGUUCUGUAAAUGAAGAGAAUUUGUGGAGCAAGUAGAGAGAUAAAAAAAAUUGAUUGCUAAGGAAAAAGCUCACAAAAAAUGCUAUUUUUAAUCUUUUCAACACAUAAUCUCGGUCUUUAUUUAUAGCAUACCAUUAAGGAUGUUAAGUAAUAGCCUCCCUUGAUAAAUAUUUUUAGUAUCAUUGUCACAAAAUAAAAUAAAAAAUUUAUCAUUUAUUUUGCAUUUUCUGAAAAUUUAUAGUUGAUUUGCGUGUUUGAAUUUCUUCAGGAAUUCGAGAUUUUUAAGAAAUUACAAAGUUUUUUAAUAUGCUGUUUUAAAAAUUCAUACAGAGUUGUUUAACGUGUUGUAUAUUAGAUAACAUCAGAGAACUUUUUCUAACCAUUAAUACCUCAGAAACUACUCGUCCUAUUUUAUGAGAUUAUAUACAAUUUAAUCAAUAUGGACUUUACAUCCUCAUUUUGUUAAAAAAAAAGUUUUUAGAACGUAUUAUGCUACAUGGAAUUCGUCUAUUCAUAAGAUAGUUUAAAUCCAAAUAACAAUUAGAUAAUUUCUGCUAUAUGGAAGCAAUUCGAUUUUUAAAAAAAAAUUUCUUGCAAAAGAUAUCACAGUUUAGCGUUAAUGAUUUAAAUGGGAUCAAUAACUUUUGCUUUAUCGUUUCAAUUAGAUUUUUAAAAUAAAGUUUUCUAGUAAAAGAUAUUACAGUUUGACUUUUGGCCCGUUUUGCCAUACUCUGUAAAGGUUGCAGUAACUUUUUAGGAAGAUCGAUUUUCGAGAAAUUCAUUUUAUCUCAUUAUUUUACUAGCUGUAAGUUUUUAGAAAAUGAAACAUUUAUAGCGCUUCUUCCUUAAUGUAUACAAUUUUUUAGAAAUAACUAUCCUUUUUAAUCCAAGUCAGCUUGCUGAAUAGCGAAUGAGAACAAAUGAUAUAAAUAAAGUAAGUUUCAAUUUCAUAUGCCAAUACUGACAGAACUUUUGUAACAAUGCAAAGUUUAUGUUUAAAUAUUUUUUUUCACGUCUCUUUAUUUAUAUUCCUAAUACUCCUGUUUUCACUUAUUUUAUUUUUGAAUAUUAUUGAAGCAUAUAUAAAGUACAGUGAUCCAAAAAAAAGUAUUUCCCUAACUAAUUCACACUUAAUAGCAAUCUAAGGCAAUGAAAAAGACGCACUCUAAAUAUGCAAAUUAAUUAUUCUUAGUAUCUAAAUAGGCAUUUUUAUCAUCUAUCUAAAACACUACAGGGAAGUCUUGCUGUUCUCCUUUGAUGUUAUUGCGGAGCGUAAUUAUUUCUUUUUCUUUUUAAAAAAAAUAUUUACUCUUUAAUGAAUUACUUCAUUGAAUUCGGCGUGAUCUGUCUUCAAAGAAUUCAAACAUUUUAAUUUUAGCCAACAAAUUAGUGCUCCGAUACUUUGUGCACUCAAAUCCCUCGAUGCAUAGUGCACCCAAACCCUUCGAUGCAUAGUACACCUUCUUUCUUAACAAAAAAAACAACAAAAAAUUUGUAAAUGGGCCCAAGAUUUUUCCGAUUUGAGAAAUUAACCAACUAAAAAAAUUUUUUCUUCUUCUGGAGAAAAUGUCUCUUAGUCUGUCAUUAACACGUAUUCAUAACAAAAAUUAAUUACUUAGGUAUACUUAAAGUACAUCAUUUGAAGCAUUGAAGUUACAACUGAAUAUAUGGAAAUCCGUUGCUUAAAUCAAAGGUUAUUUAGGGUAGUACUUUUUUAUAGAUUUGUACUGUUAGUUAACAAAUAGGAAGAAAUAAUUUUUGCACACUUGGCGAUAAUAAUAAUCUGUAAAUAAUUACUGCCUGUUGCAAAUAACUUAUUGCAAAUCUGAAAAAUAAAAUGUUAAAUGCACAAGUUUUUCUAUUCAUCUUCUUUAUGGUCACCUGCAAUUAUUUGUAGCCUUUAUCAAUCAAUAAAAGCUGUAAGCUAUCAGUAUAUUAUGUUUAUAAAUAUAGUUUAUAAACAUUUUGUCCCUGUUACAAAUAACUUGUAA